rnacentral:tRNA from 2 species
GGGCCGCUAGCUCAGGGGUAGAGCAUCUGACUUUUAAUCAGAGGGUCGUUGGUUCAAAUCCAACGCGGCUCA